rnacentral:lncRNA from 1 species
CCAAUGUGAAAAUAUCGAGAAAAAACAUGGUCUUGUAGGGCUAGGUUUAAACCAGAAUUUAUAGAAAGAUUAACAGAUUCCCUAGGUGUAGCUAAAAGUUCAUUAUCUCCUUGAUUAAAAGAUAGGACCUCAGCUAUAGAAAAGGGUUGGUUUUGACCUAUUGCAAUCAACUCCGGACACAGAUCAUAAUUAGGGGUAGGACUUGUUGACUCCCAUGGUCUAUGGCUGGUCUCCGAAGGUGCAAAGAAUUCAAUAAUAGGUGUGGAAUUUGAGUUAUCCAUAAAGAUGGAAAAAAUAAAAAGAUAAAAGAAUAAAAGUAUAAAAGUAUAAAAGUGUAAUACAAGAUAAUAGCAAGACUUAAAGUUAUCUCAGCAAACCGUCUUUCUCCCCGGCAACGGCGCCAGAAAUGCUUGUUGAUAUUUGGUAACGCAAUCAGAAAAUGAUCCGCAAGCGCACGGAUAUCGGUGAGCAUUUCACCCGGGAGGUUAUCCAGAGUAUCGUAUUUAUAUUUUUACCACUGGGAGAAAGGGUGCAUCUGACUAACCAAAUCUUAUUGCUACUACCCCUUUAGGCUACAAAGAAUGUUUCU